rnacentral:rRNA from 1 species
GACGAACGCUGGCGGCGUGCUUAACACAUGCAAGUCGAACGGAAAGGCCCUGCUUUUGUGGGGUGCUCGAGUGGCGAACGGGUGAGUAACACGUGAGUAACCUGCCCUUGACUUUGUGAUAACUUCAGGAAACUGGGGCUAAUACCGGAUAGGAGCUCCUGCUGCAUGGUGUGGGUUGGAAAGUUUCGGCGGUUGGGGAUGGACUCGCGGCUUAUCAGCUUGUUUGGGGGGUAGUGGCUUACCAAGGCUUUGACGGGUAGCCGGCCUGAGAGGGUGACCGGCCACAUUGGGACUGAGAUACGGCCCAGAAUGCUACGGGAGGCAGCAGUGGGGAAUAUUGCACAAUGGGCGGAAGCCUGAUGCAGCAACGCCGCGUGCGGGAUGCCGGCCUUCGGGUUGUAAACCGCUUUCGCAUGUGACGAAGCGUGAGUGACGGUAAUGGGUAAAGAAGCACCGGCUAACUACGUG